rnacentral:lncRNA from 9 species
GGAUGCGCUCCCGGUCCAGGGCGCUGGCUACUUUGAUGAGGCUCAGGUUUGGCACUUUGCUGCUCUGCACCUCAAAGUGGCGCUGCUCAUUGCCCCCAAGAAUCUGCACAGAGAUGUUCCCGUUGGCUGCUGGGGAGUCGGCGUCCGUCACGGUGAGCAGAGCCACCACAGUGCCCACCUGAGCGUUCUCAUCUACCGAGGCGUAGCGUGAGGUGGCAGGGAAGUAGCGGAAUUUUACCACAGGGUCAUUGUCGUUAACGUCCAGCAGCUGAAUCAGCGCCUCAGCGCGCCCGGUGAGAGAAGGCACGCCUCGAUCCAUAGCCUGCACGGGUCAAGUGCAAGUCAUUUCAAUAUCUCACAGUUGACAGCUCCCAUUUGUAAAAGGAGGACAAUCAAGGCCACGUGGAAAAUUUUUGGAGAACCCACCAAGAUGCUGGAAUUCUCCAAGUGGAUUUGCCUGAUGGAGACAUUUAAAGUUCAUUGACUGCAUGCACCUCAAGGGCAGUUUAUGCUCAGGUACAUUUUCUUGGCUCUCACAGUGAUUCUUGAGUAAGACUAAAAUUUUACUUUUGUUGACAUUUCAUUUCUUUAGUUGUUGAUAUUCUAAAUUCUUAUUUUUGUUUUUGUUUCUGGUUAAGUCUCUUAUUCCUUCCUUCUCUAAGUCAAGGUCAUUGCUGUGCCUCUUUCUACAUCAGGGACUUAGUGAGUCUGUAUUUUGUCUCAGAACAUUGAGUUGGUCUCAACUAUAUAGAGAGAGCUUAUGUUUUAAAAAUCUGAUCUGUGCAAAACCAGUAAGUUAUUCCCCAUUAGUGGCAGCAGAGGAAAGGGAAUCUAUCAUUUGAAAAUCUGGUGAUUUCUAUUGAGAUAAUAGAUGCUUAUUUUUUGCUGGAUGAGGGACAAAAAAGAAUAUAAUUUGUUCAUCUAUUUUUGGUUAUUUAUUUGUGGGCUCAGAUUGAUUAAGAAAAUAUUCCAUGUCAGCCAGUAUGAGAACAGCUCUUUGCAAUCUGAUCCAGUUAGUUUUGUGUUUAGUGUUUACUUUCGUCCCUCUAAGUCUGGGUAAAUGGAACUAUAAGCACCCUUUGUCUGCAAAUCUACAAAUCAGGAAAGUCUUUACCUUUCUUGUGUGUUUGUGUGAAAUAUCUUUCCAUUUCCAUAGAUAUUAAUGUUAUUUUUGUCAUAACCUAUAAGGAAAAUGAUCUGAAAAAGGACAUAUCUAUAUCUGUGAUAUAUAUCUGAAUCACUCUAUACCUGAAACUAAGACAAUAUGGUAAAUCAACUAAACUUCAAUUUUUAAAAAAAGAAUAAAAGAACUAAAAAAUAUUGUUAUUAUUACUUUAAAAAGCUAUUUCUGACUAUGACAUAGAGAUUUUUAUGUACCUAUGUAAAUCUAGCCAUCCCCACAAAA